UACGUAGGGGGCAAGCGUUGUUCGGAAUGACUGGGCGUAAAGGGUGCGUAGGCGGUGUAGCAAGUUAGAAGUGAAAUACCUAGAGCUUAACUCAGGUGCUGCUUCUAAAACUGCUAUACUUGAGUGCAGUAGAGGAAAGUGGAAUUCCUAGUGUAGCGGUGGAAUGCGUAGAUAUUAGGAGGAACAUCAGUGGCGAAGGCGACUUUCUGGACUGUAACUGACGCUGAGGUUCGAAAGCGUGGGUAGCAAACAGG
rnacentral:rRNA from 1 species